CAGCCUCUUUCAGAGUCUUCUACAUAAGUGUAGUGCUAUUUUUAAUUUUUGUGCUCUUCACUGUGUUUUACCCUCUAAUACAAAGGAAGACAGACACAAUUAUAAAGGAUGAACAAUCUGCUACUUCGGUUAACUCGAGUCAGACAAGUGGGACAAGCACUUCACCGGUUGGUGUAGACAGAUCGGACUCCGUCAAGUAGUUAACUGUCCAGUGGUUGCUGAACAAGU
rnacentral:sRNA from 1 species